rnacentral:rRNA from 1 species
CGCUCAGACGAACGCGGGCGGCGUGCCUAAUACAUGCAAGUCGAGCGGACAGAUGGGAGCUUGCUCCCUGAUGUUAGCGGCGGACGGGUGAGUAACACGUGGGUAACCUGCCUGUAAGACUGGGAUAACUCCGGGAAACCGGGGCUAAUACCGGAUGGUUGUUUGAACCGCAUGGUUCAAACAUAAAAGGUGGCUUCGGCUACCACUUACAGAUGGACCCGCGGCGCAUUAGCUAGUUGGUGAGGUAACGGCUCACCAAGGCAACGAUGCGUAGCCGACCUGAGAGGGUGAUCGGCCACACUGGGACUGAGACACGGCCCAGACUCCUACGGGAGGCAGCAGUAGGGAAUCUUCCGCAAUGGACGAAAGUCUGACGGAGCAACGCCGCGUGAGUGAUGAAGGUUUUCGGAUCGUAAAGCUCUGUUGUUAGGGAAGAACAAGUACCGUUCGAAUAGGGCGGUACCUUGACGGUACCUAACCAGAAAGCCACGGCUAACUACGUGCCAGCAGCCGCGGUAAUACGUAGGUGGCAAGCGUUGUCCGGAAUUAUUGGGCGUAAAGGGCUCGCAGGCGGUUUCUUAAGUCUGAUGUGAAAGCCCCCGGCUCAACCGGGGAGGGUCAUUGGAAACUGGGGAACUUGAGUGCAGAAGAGGAGAGUGGAAUUCCACGUGUAGCGGUGAAAUGCGUAGAGAUGUGGAGGAACACCAGUGGCGAAGGCGACUCUCUGGUCUGUAACUGACGCUGAGGAGCGAAAGCGUGGGGAGCGAACAGGAUUAGAUACCCUGGUAGUCCACGCCGUAAACGAUGAGUGCUAAGUGUUAGGGGGUUUCCGCCCCUUAGUGCUGCAGCUAACGCAUAAGCACUCCGCUGGAGUGUG